UCUUCGCACCCUGUCAUAAGCUUUCUCUAAAUCCACAAACACACAAUGUAACUCCUUCUGGCCUUCUCUAUACUUCUCCAUCAGUAUUCUCAGAGCAAACAUUGCAUCCGUAGUGCUCUUUCCCAGUAUGAAACCAUAUUUCUGCUCACAGAUCACAGUUUUAUAAGCCUAGCUUUUACUACUCUUUCCCAUAACUUCAUAUAACGACGUGAUGCCUCUG